AACUGGUAGCUUUAAGCGGCUCACCUUUAGCAUCAACAGGCCACAACCAACCAGAACGUGAAAAAGCGUCCUGCGUGUAGCGAACUGCGAUGGGCAUACUGUAACCAUAAGGCCACGUAUUUUGCAAGCUAUUUAACUGGCGGCGAUUGCGUACCCGACGACCAAAAUUAGGGUCAACGCUACCUGUAGGAAGUGUCCGGAUAAAGUGCACCGCAUGGAAAUGAAGACGGCCAUUAGCUGUACCAUACUCAGGCACACAAAAAUACUGAUAGCAGUCGGCGUGUGAAUCAUUAGCCUUGCGACCCUCGGCAGCAAGAACCAUACGACCAAUAUCACGAAAAUAGUCACGCAAAGCAUUG
rnacentral:rRNA from 1 species